CCGAGAGGGCUCGCCUGCCUUCCGGAGCGGCGUGUCCUUCCAGGCAGAUCGUGCGUCACGUGGCCCAGGGACUCCGGAGCGGCUGGAGGCCUUCCGCCAGGAAGUCGAGGGCAGGCCUGGCCCAGGUAGCGCUUGGGGUGACACUUCCCCCUUGGAUGCUUCGCUCCCUUCCUCCGCCUGUGCAGCAUUCCCACCCCCGGCUCAGUUUUUUGGGACUCUUCCGUCGCUGCCCUUCCCCCCCCCCCCCCCGGAAGAUCCCUCUGGGCAGGAGAUCGGAGGCCAGGCCAACUCCGAAGGGCUCGGCCAGCGAAAGUUUGACGUUUGCACCGCCGAGGGCUGCCGGCGCUGCGGACCAGUGACUGGAACUUGAUUUGAACCUUAAGGAGACCUCCACCCAUACAUUUACAAGAGACUUCCUCAAUGGAAAAGCCAGCUACUCAAUCUUGUCUUUCCAUUCAGCAGAGU
rnacentral:lncRNA from 1 species